rnacentral:rRNA from 1 species
GGGUCAACUCCAACCCUUUGUGACCUUACCUAUCGUUGCUUCGGCGGGAUCGCCCCGGCGCCUUCGGGCCCGGAACCAGGCGCCCGCCGGAGGCCCCAAACUCUUAUGUCUUUAGUGGUUUUCUCCUCUGAGUGACACAUAAACAAAUAAAUAAAAACUUUCAACAACGGAUCUCUUGGUUCUGGCAUCGAUGAAGAACGCAGCGAAAUGCGAUAAGUAAUGUGAAUUGCAGAAUUCAGUGAAUCAUCGAAUCUUUGAACGCACAUUGCGCCCGCCAGUAUUCUGGCGGGCAUGCCUGUUCGAGCGUCAUUUCAACCCUCAGGCCCCCAGUGCCUGGCGUUGGGGAUCGGCGUGGGCGGCGACGGCUCUCCGGAGCCCGAGCCAAUGCCUGCCGGCCCCGAAAUUCAGUGGCGGUCUCGCUGUAGUCCCCCUCUGCGUAGUAGCACAACUCGCAUUGGAGCUCGGCGGUGGCCAUGCCGUAAAACACCCCACUUCUGAAAGUUGACCUCGGAUCAGGUAGGAAUACCCGCUGAACUUAAGCAUAUCAAUAAGCGGAGGA